rnacentral:tRNA from 2 species
GCCGCAGUAGCUCAGGUGGUAGAGCACGUCAUUCGUAAUGAUGGGGUCGGGGGUUCAAGUCCUCUCUGCGGCACCA